rnacentral:rRNA from 1 species
UUUCCGGUUGAUCCCGCCGGAUCACGAUCGCAUUCCAGCUUUUCGCCGGUCCGAAGGAAUAUGACACCCUGCAGAGCUUGGGAAUUGGAUUGGAGGAUACGAUCGACUUCGGCUGGUUCUUGUUUGGAAGCUGGGACACGGUCAGGGCGGUAGCCAAACCGAUAUUUUCCGUGCUCCGCUCGAUCAACGACUAUACGCACAAUUACGGUGUCACGAUCAUCAUCUUGACCGUGGGUAUCAAGCUGCUGUUCGUCCCCUUGCAGUACAAGAGCUACAAGUCGAUGAAACAGAUGCAGGAAAUACAGCCGAAAGUAUUGGCACUUCAGGAGAAGUUCAAAGACGAUCGCGAACGCCUGAAUAAGGAACUCAUUAAAGUCUAUCGGGAUAACAAAGUGAAUCCGGUGGGGGGCUGUCUGCCGAUGGUGUUGCAGAUGCCGGUGUUCGUGGCACUGUUCAAUAUCCUCUAUAUGACGAUCGAUUUGCGCCAGGCGCCGCUGGGACUCUGGAUCACCGAUCUAUCCGUCCAGGACCCCUAUUACAUUCUGCCGGUCAUCAUGGGGGUCAGCAUGCUGAUCAUGCAGAAGAUUCAGCCCACCACCAUGGACCCGGCCCAAGCGAAAAUCAUGCUGCUGCUUCCGGCGUUGAUGACG